rnacentral:rRNA from 1 species
UACGUAGGGUGCGAGCGUUAAUCGGAAUUACUGGGCGUAAAGCGUGCGCAGGCGGUGAGCUGUGUCCGAUGUGAAAGCCCCGGGCUUAACCUGGGAAUUGCAUACAAAACUGCACAUCUAGAGUAGAGCAGAGGUGAGUGGAAUUUCCGGAGUAGCGGUGAAAUGCGUAGAUACCGGAAGGAACACCAGUGGCGAAGGCGACUCACUGGGCUCAAACUGACACUGAGGCGCGAAAGCGUGGGGAGCAAACAGG